AGUGAACGCUGGCGGUAGGCCUAACACAUGCAAGUCGAACGGCAGCACAGUAAGAGCUUGCUCUUACGGGUGGCGAGUGGCGGACGGGUGAGGAAUACAUCGGAAUCUACUUUUUCGUGGGGGAUAACGUAGGGAAAAUUACGCUAAUACCGCAUACGACCUACGGGUGAAAGCAGGGGAUCUUCGGAACUUGCGCGAUUGAAUGAGCCGAUGUCGGAUUAGCUAGUUGGCGGGGUAAAGGCCCACCAAGGCGACGAUCCGUAGCUGGUCUGAGAGGAUGAUCAGCCACACUGGAACUGAGACACGGUCCAGACUCCUACGGGAGGCAGCAGUGGGGAAUAUUGGACAAUGGGCGCAAGCCUGAUCCAGCCAUACCGCGUGGGUGAAGAAGGCCUUCGGGUUGUAAAGCCCUUUUGUUGGGAAAGAAAAGCAGCAGGUUAAUACCCCGCUGUUCUGACGGUACCCAAAGAAUAAGCACCGGCUAACUUCGUG
rnacentral:rRNA from 1 species